rnacentral:rRNA from 1 species
UUCGGGGAUUUUGGAAAUGGGGGCAACCCUGACCCAGCCAUGCCGCGUGUGCGAAGAAGGCCUUCGGGUUGUAAAGCACUUUCGGACGGAACGAAAUCGCGCGGGUGAACAAUCCGCGUGGAUGACGGUACCGUAGGAAGAAGCACCGGCUAACUACGUGCCAGCAGCCGCGGUAAUACGUAGGGUGCGAGCGUUAAUCGGAAUUACUGGGCGUAAAGCGUGCGCAGGCGGCGCCGCAAGUCAGGCGUGAAAUCCCCGAGCUUAACUUGGGAAUGGCGCUUGAAACUACGGUGCUGGAGUGUGGCAGAGGGAGGUGGAAUUCCACGUGUAGCGGUGAAAUGCGUAGAGAUGUGGAGGAACACCGAUGGCGAAGGCAGCCUCCUGGGCCAACACUGACGCUCAUGCACGAAAGCGUGGGGAGCAAACAGGAUUAGAUACCCUGGUAGUCCACGCCCUAAACGAUGAUGACUAGUUGUUGGGGGAGUUAAAUCCCUUAGUAACGCAGCUAACGCGUGAAGUCAUCCGCCUGGGGAGUACGGUCGCAAGAUAAAACUCAAAGGAAUUGACGGAAUCAC